AGCAGCACAGAGAACCAGAAACAGAGAGGGGGUUGUUGCGAAAAUAGUGGUCUUGUCCAGACCAUGGUCCGGACCAUUGUAAUGAGUGGUCCCUGCCACUG